GAUGAACGCUGGCGGCGUGCCUAAUACAUGCAAGUCGAGCGAACAGAUGAGGAGCUUGCUCCUCUGACGUUAGCGGCGGACGGGUGAGUAACACGUGGAUAACCUACCUAUAAGACUGGGAUAACUUCGGGAAACCGGAGCUAAUACCGGAUAAUAUAUUGAACCGCAUGGUUCAAUAGUGAAAGACGGUUUUGCUGUCACUUAUAGAUGGAUCCGCGCCGCAUUAGCUAGUUGGUAAGGUAACGGCUUACCAAGGCAACGAUGCGUAGCCGACCUGAGAGGGUGAUCGGCCACACUGGAACUGAGACACGGUCCAGACUCCUACGAGAGGCAGCAGUAGGGAAUCUUCCGCAAUGGGCGAAAGCCUGACGGAGCAACGCCGCGUGAGUGAUGAAGGUCUUCGGAUCGUAAAACUCUGUUAUUAGGGAAGAACAAAUGUGUAAGUAACUGUGCACGUCUUGACGGUACCUAAUCAGAAAGCCACGGCUAACUACGUG
rnacentral:rRNA from 1 species